AUGAAGUCAGGUGAUAAGAAGGUCAUGAGAAGUGACAGUGAUCAGAUCAUACACCUUGAUUACAGAGACUUUGGGCGUUGGAAGGUCGAAAAAUUUGCUCGUUAUGUUGACAACCUAUUGCUCGCCCGUCGUAAUGUUGACUUGCACACAUUCCGUCUGCAUUGGGAUCCUCAUGUUCCCCUGAACUGCAAUGAUGUCAGAAAGUGGAUUCGCUACGCUGUGAAUCAUAAAGUUAAAGUGCUUGACGUGGAGCUUUGCAUGUAUGAUAAGACUAAUUUACCUCCUGGCAUUUUCACCUGCCGCUCACUUCAGGAGCUAAAUUUGCAGUGGGGUGGAGCUCCUUUUCGAGAUUAUGAGCAUAAGGGACUUGUGCUGCCUGACAUAAUCAAGCUUCCUUCUCUUAAAAAACUGACUCUACGCGAUGUGGAAGUGCACGAGCUUCCUCUGGAGAGUUUCAUUGCCCGGAGCCCUGGCCUAGAAGACUUGCAUCUGAUAGACUCUGCAGUGUGUCUUGAGCACAUAAAAUCAAAAGCGCUAAAAAGGCUAUGA
rnacentral:rRNA from 1 species